rnacentral:lncRNA from 1 species
CUGCUAUUCUGUAUUGUUAGAUUUGGUGUCUGUUUUGCUGCUGCUACAAUGACAACAAACAGCUGUUUUGUUAACUCAUUUUGUGACUUUAUGCAACAAAUGCAUAUAUGAUGUUUUGGUGAUCUAUGAGUUGUACAAGUUGAUAGUAUGUGUGUUUGCCAGGAAAUGAAAUACUUUGGUUGGUGACAAGGAAACUUAGUACUGUUGUGUGUCUAUUGUUGAUUGCCAAUUUCUGAAGUUUAUGUAGUAUGAAGUUUACUUCCCAAUAUAAAAACAGCGCUUCUUUAGAAACAAUAAUUGAUAAGUAACAACAACAUAUACAUAUUGAGAUGAGAAUACUACAAAAUAUUGAAAUGACAAAACUACAAAAGGCUUACAUUCAAAUCAAAGGUCCAUUGUAAACAUACAAAAUAAAACCUACAAGCAACAUCUACAUUCAUAUUGAGAUGACAAAACUAGAUUCACAAUGGCAACCUCAUUGCAUCUUCUUUCAAUGAGAUUCCUGGAUACCCACAAGCAACAAGAAUAAUACAUAUCCCCAAUAUAAUGAACCAAAGUACAUUUUCCCUAGCCUUUGACUUAGAUAAUUUACUCUUCCACUUCUUUUCCUUCUCUUUCAUCUUCUCCAUAUUGUCACACCCCUUUUUACAAACUUCACUAACCCUCUUAAAUUAAUAAAAAGAUUUAGUAAAACUUGAAAAAGGUUUUCAAUCCGAAAAGUGACAAAAUUAUGUGUUCAAAAGGAUUAACUCAGAGUCGCCACCUGACAUUUGAUUUCAGUGUGUCAGGUCACCGUUUUUUCUAAAAAUAAUUUUUUUCCUUUCAAAACACUAUAGACUCUAAAAACUAAGUCUACACCAAAGAUUCGGGUAAGGGGGUUCAUUUGACUCGGGGAGAAGGUGUUAGGCACUCCCCAAGUCCCGUGAAAAUUACGGUUGCGUACUCGAUCUAGUUGGCUUUUAAAAUAUUAAAGUUGAGGUAAAACUAAACACAGAAAAGAAAAACAAACACACAAGAGUCUCAAGGUCGUCCCCAGCUAAUAUAAGAAAAAUGAAAAAUGAAAAUAAAAAUAAAAAUAUUAAGAGUUCUACUUUCCGCCUCCAAAUACAAAUACUUCGGGGCAUACCCCGGAUAAAAAUAUAAACAAAUCCUACAAGGCAUUCCCCGAAUAAUAAACUAAAAAAACGACCUCUCGCCUCAAAUAGAAAUGAGAUAAAACCUAAGGUUUGUCUACCCAAGUGAUGACGGGCUAAGCAUGCUUCUAACGAAAAACGAUAAAUAAAAGCAAUAAUAAAAUAUUCUAAAUCUAAAUUGUCAUUCACAUUUAAUCCCGAAUCCCUCUAUCAACUCUUGAAAUUCAUCAACCAUUUCCAAAUCCCUACGGCCUACUUAUUUCUUAAAAAAUGAUUUAAAUCCAAGUCUUACUUUUAAUUUGGAGUCUCAUCUAAGGUUGAAUUAGAUUUAAAAAACUAAAUCUCGUCUCUUCUUCCAAGCCAACAUGGGGUUACUGGCAGAAUAGUCAAACCAAAGGAACAAGAAUAAGAUAGCAAAUCAACUUUAACCCAUUCAAGACAUAGAGCAUCACAAAAUAACAUAAAUCAGGCAACAAAUCAAACCUUAAUUCAUCCCAAAGUAUAGAGUAAGAUAGAAAAGAGAAUAGACCUUUAAUGGGCUUUUUCCAAUAAUAGAAUCUCCCAGAAUCUGGCGACGAGAACUCGACCGGAGCAGUGAACAAUGAUAGAAAAUGGAACGGCGACCGGAAAACCUCUUGACCGCACCUCAAUCGGAUUCAAACCCAACUCCAACACUUAAAGAAAAAUUCAUUCUCAAGCUCCAAGCUCUGGAAUCGGAAAAUGAACAGAUUCUUUUCAACUCGAUUUUCUCUUCUUUUUUUUUAGCCAAAACCCGACAUUGAAAACAGAAACGAAAAAGCAAUUCGAAUCCAAUUUUCAACCCAGAAAAUAUCCUUUCUCGUUUCUUUGUGUUUAUAUGUGUGUUAAUGUUUACCGGCGAGCUCGUCACUGCCUUGGCGAGAGGAGGAGAACCUGGCGACUUCUGGUGGUCAAAGUUGACGGUUCUCCUGUAAUGGUGCUGCUUUGAAGAAGAAGAUAGCUUGAAAGUCUUUUUUUUUUGUUCGAAGGGC